rnacentral:rRNA from 1 species
UGCGAAGGGGGCUAGCGUUGCUCGGAAUCACUGGGCGUAAAGGGUGCGUAGGCGGGUCUUUAAGUCAGGGGUGAAAUCCUGGAGCUCAACUCCAGAACUGCCUUUGAUACUGAGGAUCUUGAGUUCGGGAGAGGUGAGUGGAACUGCGAGUGUAGAGGUGAAAUUCGUAGAUAUUCGCAAGAACACCAGUGGCGAAGGCGGCUCACUGGCCCGGUACUGACGCUGAGGUGCGAAAGCGUGGGGAGCAAACAGG